rnacentral:rRNA from 1 species
CCCUUAGAUGUUCUGGACCGCACGCGUGCUACACUGACCGGCGCAACAAGUUUCUUUCCUUGGCUCGAUAGGCCUGGGUAAUCUUUGAACGCCGGUCGUGAUGGGGAUAGAUCCUUGCAAUUUUUGAUCUUCAACGAGGAAUUCCUAGUAAAUGCGAGUCAUCAUCUCGCGUUGAUUACGUCCCUGCCCUUUGUACACACCGCCCGUCGCACCUACCGAUUGAAUGGUCCGGUGAAGCCUCGGGAUUGCGAAUGCUUCGUGCGGACGCGAGAACUUGGCUAAACCUUACCAUUUAGAGGAAGGUGAAGUCGUAACA